AUGUGUAGUAAACCAUGGUAGAUGUUAUAAAAGGUGGAAUGCUUGUACUGGAAAUGCAUACAGUGCCUCACCCCCUCAGGAGGUUUUCACGCUAAUGAUGAUGGUGAUGAUGAUGUAACAGCUAAAGUUUUGGAGGCAUUCACUAUUGCUAGGCACUGUAUCAGCAGAUAGCAUGGGUUAUCUUAGUUUUCACAAUAAAAGCGUUAUGAGAUGGGAACUAUGAUUACUCUCUUGAUUUUUACAGAAGAGAAAACAGGGGUAGACAUUAAGGAAUUUACUCAAGACCCAACGGAUGCACUGAGCUGGACAAGGUCAACUUGAGGCUGAAGGGAAUAUGUGUUGCUCCAAGUGUGUCGGUAUAAGAGAGAUUAGGGUGAGGUUUUAUGCAGAGUUUGGGUAUCAGUUGAGUAAUUCUAAGGAGGGAUUAGGGGAAGCAAGGCAGUUUAGUAAUUGAGUAUCUUAGCAACUUUAAUUUGGAGGACAACGGAACAAAGCUAGGCCAAGGAAUCUAUUCAGUCACUCAAAAGAUAGAGGUUGUUAGUCAUUUUACAGCUGUAAUGUAUCCUUGUGAGGAACAUUUUUUGCUUGGCCUUGUCCCUGGCCUUGUAUGUGUACAUUACAGUCUGAUUAUUAGUUGGGAUGAUUUUUAGUUUCUCAAUCCCUACUCUUACUGCCCCAGUUUAAUUCCUCAUCACCUCUCACCCAGAUUAUUGUGAUAUUCUAGUUUUAUCUUUUAAUCCUUUAUAUUGCAAAGCAGAGUAAUUUACCUAAAACACAAACACAACCAAAAUAAGCCUCUAUUUAAAAGCUUUCAACGGUUCACUGUUGUCUCUACGGAAUGUAAACAGAGCGUCUUAACAUGGCACAUCAGGCCCUCCUCCUUAACCUAGCCCUCCCAGCCCAUCACUACAACUGUAUUCCUUGAUACUCUCGAAUUGCACUUUAUUUUGUUUUGUUUUUUUGAGACGGAGUCUUGCUCUGUUGCCCACGUUGGAGGGCAGUGGUGCCAUCUCGGCUCACUGCAGCCUCCACCUCCCGGGUUCAAGCAGUUCUCCUGUCUCAGCCUCCAGAGUAGCUAGAACUACAGGCAUGCACCACCACACCUGGCUAAUUUUGUAUUUUAAGUACAGAUGGGGUUUCACCAUGUUGGCCAGGCUGACGAACUCCUGACCUCUGGUGAUCCACCCGCCUUGGCCUCCCAAAGUGCUGGGAUUACAGGUGUGAACCACAGCAUCCUGCCUCGAAUUGCACGUUAAAUUGGAUAGCUGGGGGGGCGUGGUGGCUCGCGCCUGUAUUCCCAGCUACUCGGGAGGCUGAGGCGGAAGGAUAGCUUGACCCCAGGAAGUCGAGGCUGCAGUUAGUCUUAAUUGCGCCUGCACUCCAGCCUGGGUGAAAGAGCAAGACCCUGUCUCUAAUAUGUAAGAAAUGAAAAAAUAAAUAAAUUCGACUGCCAAAAUUCUUGCUGUUCCCAGCAUAUUCGUUUCACCUUUCAGUGCCUUUGCUUAUGCUGAUCUGACUGUAACCGCAUUCCCACCCUUCUCCGUCUGAGUAAAGGGCAUCUUCCUUCCAAACUCAACUCUUAGCAUCAGAAAGCUCUCCCUGAUACUGCAAUUGAGUCACAUGUGAUACUGGGAAAAGAAAAAAAAAAAAAAA
ensembl:lncRNA